UACAGAGGUCCCAAGCGUUGUUCGGAUUCACUGGGCGUAAAGGGUGCGUGAGGUUGGCAGUGUAAGUCUGAUGAUGGAAAGCUUCGACGCUUAACUCGAAAAUGGACAUUGGGAUACUAUAUUGCUGGAGGUUUGGAGGGGGGACUGGAAUUCUCGGGUGUAGCAGUGAAAUGCGUAGAUAUCGAGAGGAACACCGGUGGCGAAGGCGGAU
rnacentral:rRNA from 1 species